GCUAGCUAGUAGCUAGUACAGAGCGAAGCAUUGAAGGUGCAUUGCACGCAUUCUGUUGACAAAGUAAUUUGUGUUUAGUGCAGUUAACACACUUUGUAGAAAUACCACAUUGUGUUUUUAAGUGAUUAUGAAAAGACCACUAGCUAGCUAGCUACAUGGCACUAGAUUACAGCAACUUCGUUAUAUUUUCACUAGACAGACUGACAGACUGACUGCAAAAUACACUUCCAUACAUUGAUUGAACAUUAACAGAUCUUGUUCUUCUCCCCUAUAGCGAUUGAAUAUGGAGGACUUUGUUAAACUAAAGUUAACAGAACGGCAACUUCUUGAGCUGAUUGACACUUUUGCAGAUUGUGCAGGACUUCGAGGUUCUUCAUAAAGAGGCAUCAGACUAAAUGUUUGACCUGGAGGAGGUUCAGCGAGAAGCUUGUUCAUGCGGCCCAGUGGGAGGGGUAGAAGCUCCAUCUGCAGACAGAGACAGAGUCUUUGUCUCAAGGCUCCAAAGACUACAUUGCACUGAUGGUUCUGCCAGGUCUGAUUCCACCUGCAGUCUUCAGGAUGGGCCGAAAGACCGUGAGGACUACAGUGUCUGACGCCAUGAAGGCCUUCAUCGAUCUUAAGCCUGUCGGAGCCAACAUGGUGGAGUACCUUCAGGCAGCGGAGCAGACCAGGCCAUACCCCUGCACCCUGGUGUUGGGAGGCGAGGACUGCUGCUCUCAGGCAUUCACCGUUCCCAGUGGGCCGGCCCUGGAGCACGACAGCGUUGUCCAAGCUGUACAUGUUUGUGUCAAAUGUUUUUAUCAAUUAUUAUUAUCAAUUUCCCAAAGCAGUGUUCCUCUGCUUAGCAGUUCCUCCAGAAAGAAUGGGGGGGUGGUAGUAAUGUGGCCCCAUGCGUUUGUUUUUUGGAAAUGCUCAUGCGAUAAGGGAAUUCUC